GUUAGGAGCCAUGACAUAAUCCUUGUCAGCCAUUUUCCGUAUUACUUUUGCAAUGUAUAUUAACACUUUGUGCAUUUCUUUUCUAUGAGCUUUUUUUUAUCAUCUUUCUCCAUUUGUGUCUCUAUUGCUUCUAUUUGUGCUUUGAUCGUUUCCAUCAUUUUGAGCUUGUGCUCUCGCUCGCUUAUUCAUGUUGGGUCAAGGUAUGCUAACUUGAACCUGUUGUGCGUCAAUUCUUCCUCCCUCCAUUGCAUCCUGCAGAAUAGGUUACAUAUGUAUUUAAAAUUCGUGUAUGUGGUACAUGUGGACUUACAAGAACCAUAUGGAAAUGAGAUUCACAUCGAGACAUUGUCGAUGGUAAAGUCUGUGCAAAUCAUCGAAAUCGAUCACAAUCUGGUACAGUAGAACCCCAAGAAAACUAAACUCAAACAUAAAAAAAAUUGCUGACAACAACCGACAUGACAGUGUUUGAUUGGUGCAAAUGUAACGUAAUCGGAUUACGGGCGUUAAAGGAUACCAUUACACUCGUAAACGAAUACCAGCCCAUUACACCCCUUCGUACUCGUAUAGCAUCACGAUACCGCCACUCGCGACACCUCCGACACCACCCCUUUCUUCCCCAUCGCUCCAGCUCAGUGCAUUACGGAGUGUGCUGCCACCACUGCUCCCCACGUGAGAAGCUUUGCCAACGACCACACAGCGGUGAACCCUUGCUCAGCUCUUUUCCCCUCUCAUCCCCUAAUUCUCCCUCAGUCCCUCGUACACAUACACAAAGCAAUUUUCUCUCCUAACC
rnacentral:lncRNA from 1 species